rnacentral:piRNA from 1 species
CCCAACCUGGAGUUCUAGAGUGCAGU